rnacentral:rRNA from 1 species
ACGGGUGCGUAACGCGUGGGAAUCUGCCCCUUGGUUCGGAAUAACAGUUGGAAACGACUGCUAAUACCGGAUGAUGACGUAAGUCCAAAGAUUUAUCGCCGAGGGAUGAGCCCGCGUAAGAUUAGCUAGUUGGUGUGGUAAAGGCGCACCAAGGCGACAAUCUUUAGCUGGUCUGAGAGGAUGAUCAGCCACACUGGGACUGAGACACGGCCCAGACUCCUACGGGAGGCAGCAGUGGGGAAUAUUGGACAAUGGGCGAAAGCCUGAUCCAGCAAUGCCGCGUGAGUGAUGAAGGCCUUAGGGUUGUAAAGCUCUUUUACCCGGGAUGAUAAUGACAGUACCGGGAGAAUAAGCUCCGGCUAACUCCGUGCCAGCAGCCGCGGUAAUACGGAGGGAGCUAGCGUUAUUCGGAAUUACUGGGCGUAAAGCGCACGUAGGCGGCUUUGUAAGUUAGAGGUGAAAGCCUGGAGCUCAACUCCAGAAUUGCCUUUAAGACUGCAUCGCUUGAAUCCAGGAGAGGUGAGUGGAAUUCCGAGUGUAGAGGUGAAAUUCGUAGA